rnacentral:rRNA from 1 species
UCGGGAAUAUUGCGCAAUGGAGGAAACUCUGACGCAGUGACGCCGCGUAUAGGAAGAAGGUUUUCGGAUUGUAAACUAUUGUCGUUAGGGAAGAAAUUGACAGUACCUAAGGAGGAAGCUCCGGCUAACUAUGUGCC